rnacentral:rRNA from 1 species
AGGGCAAGUCUGGUGCCAGCAGCCGCGGUAAUUCCAGCUCCAAUAGCGUAUAUUAAAGUUGUUGCAGUUAAAAAGCUCGUAGUUGAAUUUCGGGGUCAGCAGGUCGGUCGUGCCAAUGGUAUGCACUGGCCUUGCUGAUUCCUCCCUCUUGAUGAGCCGUAAUGCCAUUAAUUUGGUGUUGCGGGGAAUCAGGACUGUUACUUUGAAAAAAUUAGAGUGUUUAAAGCAGGCAAGCGCUUGAAUACAUUAGCAUGGAAUAAUGAAAUAGGACGUUUGAUCCUAUUUUGUUGGUUUCUAGGAUUGACGUAAUGAUUAAUAGGGAUAGUUGGGGGCAUUAGUAUUCAAUUGUCAGAGGUGAAAUUCUUGGAUUUAUUGAAGACUAACUACUGCGAAAGCAUUUGCCAAGGAUGUUUUCAUUAAUCAAGAACGAAAGUUAGGGGGUCGAAGACGAUCAGAUACCGUCGUAGUCUUAACCAUAAACUAUGCCGACUAGGGAUCGGAUGAUGUUAAUUUUUUAAUGACUCAUUCGGCGCCUUACGGGAA